rnacentral:ncRNA from 1 species
AGAGCCGUGUGAGGGGAAACUUUCACGCACGGUUCUGUGAGAGGGUGAGCGCGGAUUCAAC